GAUGAACGCUGGCGGCGUGCCUAAUACAUGCAAGUCGAGCGAAUGGAUUAAGAGCUUGCUCUUAUGAAGUUAGCGGCGGACGGGUGAGUAACACGUGGGUAACCUGCCCAUAAGGCUGGGAUAACUCCGGGAAACCGGGGCUAAUACCGGAUAACAUUUUGAACCGCAUGGUUCGAAAUUGAAAGGCGGCUUCGCCUGUCACUUAUGGAUGGACCCGGGUCGCAUUAGCUAGUUGGUGAGGUAACGGCUCACCAAGGCAACGAUGCGUAGCCGACCUGAGAGGGUGAUCGGCCACACUGGGACUGAGACACGGCCCAGACUCCUACGGGAGGCAGCAGUAGGGAAUCUUCCGCAAAGGACGAAAGUCUGACGGAGCAACGCCGCGUGAGUGAUGAAGGCUUUCGGGUCGUAAAACUCUGUUGUUAGGGAAGAACAAGUGCUAGUUGAAUAAGCUGGCACCUUGACGGUACCUAACCAGAAAGCCACGGCUAACUACGUGCCAGCAGCCGCGGUAA
rnacentral:rRNA from 1 species